rnacentral:lncRNA from 10 species
CUGAGAUCGCGCCACUGCACUCCAGCCUGAGCGAUAGGGCCAGACUCCACCUCAGAUAAAAAAUAAAAUUAAAAAAAAGAGUGUAUAUGUGCAGAGCAGCAAUCUCAGCAAAGCCUAAAGCCAGACACUGUGUGUUCACCAGCUGCAGCGACACGCCGUCUGCAUGUUCUCACUCACAGGAUGGAAUACAGCAAGGAACAAACAAGCCACACCUCUCAGUGUCAACAGGGUGAAUCCCAAACGCGUAACGUGAGUGAAAGAAGCAAGUCCCAGAACAGCACGUCCAGCACAUCAGAGACCACCAAUGGGGUCCUGCUGCCACCCUGGCAUUGCUCUUACCAACUGUGCAUAUGUGCACCUCCCAUUCUGUUGUGUCUCCGACCUCGAACAGGACAGCACAGGCUUCCCCGCCUCCCGUGGGCCUUUGCAAAGUCUGCUCUCCCCAGGCCAGUGGGUGCCCUCCCCACAGGGCUCCCUGUGCAUGCAUGGAGCCUGGCGUGCUUUGGGCACCCAGGAGUACUACUCAGCAAGCGUUUGUUGAAUGACUUAAUGAGCACCUGCAGAAAGGGAGCAGUGAGUGAAAGGCCUUUCACAAUUAAACCAUCAAGGUGUUUCGGC